rnacentral:rRNA from 1 species
CCUACGGGUGGCAGCAGUGGGGAAUAUUGCACAAUGGGCGCAAGCCUGAUGCAGCCAUGCCGCGUGUGUGAAGAAGGCCUUCGGGUUGUAAAGCACUCUCAGCGGGGAGGAAGGCGGUGAGGUUAAUAACCUCAUCGAUUGACGUUACCCGCAGAAGAAGCACCGGCUAACUCCGUGCCAGCAGCCGCGGUAAUACGGAGGGUGCACGCGUUAAUCGGAAUUACUGGGCGUAAAGCGCACGCAGGCGGUCUGUCAAGUCGGAUGUGAAAUCCCCGGGCUCAACCUGGGAACUGCAUUCGAAACUGGCAGGCUAGAGUCUUGUAGAGGGGGGUAGAAUUCCAGGUGUAGCGGUGAAAUGCGUAGAGAUCUGGAGGAAUACCGGUGGCGAAGGCGGCCCCCUGGACAAAGACUGACGCUCAGGUGCGAAAGCGUGGGGAGCAAACAGGAUUAGAUACCCCUGUAGUC